AGACAGUACUAUUAAUUAUAUAUAACAUUCUAAUAGUUUAACUCAAAGGUAUUUUGCUAGCUAUUUGUAAAUUGCAGCAUUAUUUUCUGUGAGCACAUUAGUGAUUGCAUGGUCAUUUCAUGUUUUAGAUCUGGGUGAUGUUCUUACUCCUACUCUGAAUGCCAAAGCCGUUAUUGGGAAAGCAGAAAGCAGUGACAGUGGAGCCGAGUCGGAGGAGGAAGAGGCUCAGGAGGGAGAGAAGGGAGCAGAGCCAAGCGAUGAUGAUAAGAAAAUGAUGAAAUUAGGAGAGCAUAAGAACUUGGAAAUCGUCACUAAUGGUUAUGAUAAAGACAGCUUUAUUCAGGAUAUACAAGGUGACAUUCAGGCCACUUCUUCCCUGAAUGGUGGAAGUGCUGAAGAAGGAAAACCUGGAGAUCAGGGCUUGGAGGGAACUGGAAACAUUGCUGUCCACCUUCCCCAAGAUAUAAAUGAUGAUCAUUUUGAAGAUGUUUCAGGGAUUCUGCAUUUGACAAGUGAUUCAACAGUGAAGUUUACUGUGAUUGUAUGGUGCACUUUGGACAAAAAGAGAAUGACAUGGAAGAUCAGUGCUUUGAACUGAUUGAGGAACUGAGGCAGCCAUGACGGAGCCACCAAAGACACAAAAAUGUUCUUCAGGGACUGACGCAGGAAGUCCAAGCGUGAUGGGAG
rnacentral:lncRNA from 1 species